rnacentral:rRNA from 1 species
UGGGGAAUAUUGCACAAUGGGCGCAAGCCUGAUGCAGCCAUGCCGCGUGUGUGAAGAAGGCCUUCGGGUUGUAAAGCACUUUCAGCGGGGAGGAAGGCGUUAAGGUUAAUAACCUUGGCGAUUGACGUUACCCGCAGAAGAAGCACCGGCUAACUCCGUGCCAGCAGCCGCGGUAAUACGGAGGGUGCAAGCGUUAAUCGGAAUUACUGGGCGUAAAGCGCACGCAGGCGGUCUGUCAAGUCGGAUGUGAAAUCCCCGGGCUCAACCUGGGAACUGCAUUCGAAACUGGCAGGCGAGAGUCUUGUAGAGGGGGGUAGAAUUCCAGGUGUAGCGGUGAAAUGCGUAGAGAUCUGGAGGAAUACCGGUGGCGAAGGCGGCCCCCUGGACAAAGACUGACGCUCAGGUGCGAAAGCGUGGGGAGCAAGCAGG